rnacentral:rRNA from 1 species
GGCCUGGCUGGGUGGUCUUGCCGCAAGGUAAGCACUGCUCUGGUCGGGUCUUUCCUUCUGGGGAGCCGGCGUGCUCUUAAUUGAGUGCGUCGGGGAUCCAGGACUUUUACUUUGAAAAAAUUAGAGUGUUCAAAGCAGGCAUUUUUUAGCUUGAAUACAUUAGCAUGGAAUAAUAGAAUA